rnacentral:rRNA from 1 species
GAUGAACGCUGGCGGCGUGCCUAAUACAUGCAAGUCGAGCGAACGGACGAGAAGCUUGCUUCUCUGAUGUUAGCGGCGGACGGGUGAGUAACACGUGGAUAACCUACCUAUAAGACUGGGAUAACUUCGGGAAACCGGAGCUAAUACCGGAUAAUAUUUUGAACCGCAUGGUUCAAAAGUGAAAGACGGUCUUGCUGUCACUUAUAGAUGGAUCCGCGCUGCAUUAGCUAGUUGGUAAGGUAACGGCUUACCAAGGCAACGAUGCAUAGCCGACCUGAGAGGGUGAUCGGCGACACUGGAACUGAGACACGGUCCAGACACAGAGGGGAGGAAGCAGUAGGGAAUAUUCCGCAAUGGGCGAAAGCCUGACGGAGCAACGCCGCGUGAGUGAUGAAGGUCUUCGGAUCGUAAAACUCUGUUAUUAGGGAAGAACAUAUGUGUAAGUAACUGUGCACAUCUUGACGGUACCUAAUCAGAAAGCCACGGCUAACUACGUG